GGAGGGAGCGAGCGAGCCGCGGCCGCCCCAGCAUGUGGCCCGCCCGCGCCGUGGCGGCAGCGCGGCGGCGGCGGCGGCGGCGGGCAGGUGCGCGGCCGCUGAAGCGGAGCGGGGGGGCGUAGGGGCGGGAGCCGCCCGCCGCCGCCCUCGCCGGCGCUGUCAGGUGCCCCGCCGCCCGGCCCCGGAGCCCGCCGGUCCCCGGCCGAGGAUGCCGCCCGCCGCCGCUCGCUCCGGUUCAUCUGUUGCUGCCUGACCGCGCCGCCAGCCCGAUGGAUGCGGCCGCCCCCGCGCCCUGCCCGCCCGCAGCCGCCCCGCUGGCUACCGAGCCGGGAACCGCUCCGGAGCUCCGCGGCUGGUAAAAACCAAACCAAAACCAAAUCCGAACCAAAAAACACCCCCCCGCUUCGGCCCGGACUGGAGAGGCGGCCGAGGACCAUGCAGCGUGUCCCCCGGCUCGGCGCUCCCGGCGCGGCGCCGGGCACAGCCGCCUCCUAGAGCCGCCGGACCCGGGGCUCCCCCGGACUCGGGGCUCCCCCCGCCAGGACCCGCGCAUCGAGCGGCUCCUCCUUCCCUUCUCCCUUCCAGCUGGGCAGGGAGCCCGCCUUCGCACUCCUCUCCCUCUCGAGAUUUUGGGGUUUUUGUUGCGUGUUUGGGUUUAUUUUUUUUUUAUUUUUUUUUUUUGGGUGGAAACCGCCCGUAACUCCGGGGGGGGCUGUGGGGUGGCAGCGGGGAGGCGACCAUGGAAGAAAAGCUCCAGGCGCAUCAGGUGGAGAUCGACCCGGAUUUCGAGCCGCAGAGCCGUCCCCGCUCCUGCACUUGGCCUCUCCCCCACCCCGACUUGGCGGAGGAGGAAGAUGGGGGCGCGGGGGGAACCCCGGCGCUGGCGGCCGGCGGGGACGGAGCCGAGAACGCGGCGGCCCCGGUGGAGCGCAGAGUCGCCGCCGCUCCCCCGCCGCCCCCCGGCGCGGAUGUGGGGCAGCUCCGCAAGGCCAAGACCUCCCGGCGCAACGCCUGGGGCAACCUCUCCUACGCCGACCUCAUCACCAAAGCCAUCGAGAGCUCGCCGGAGAAGCGCCUCACCCUCUCCCAGAUCUACGACUGGAUGGUGCGAUACGUCCCCUACUUUAAGGAUAAAGGAGACAGCAACAGCUCCGCCGGCUGGAAGAACUCCAUCCGGCACAACCUGUCGCUGCACACCCGCUUCAUCCGCGUGCAGAACGAGGGCACCGGGAAGAGCUCCUGGUGGAUGCUGAACCCCGAGGGCGGCAAGACGGGCAAGACGCCGCGGCGGCGGGCGGUGUCCAUGGACAACAACAGCAAGUUCCUGCGCAUCAAGGGCAAGGCCAGCAAGAAGAAGCAGCUGCAGGUGACGCAGGAGCGCGGGGAGGACAGCCCGUCCUCCCAGCAAGCCAAGUGGUCGGAGAGCCCCGCGUCCCACGCCAGCGAUGAGUACGACGCCUGGGCGGACUUCCGGACGCGGGCCAACUCCACGGCCAGCACGCUGAGCGGGCGCCUCUCGCCCAUCAUGGCCAACCACGAGCCGGACGAGCUGGAGGAGGACGACGGUACCCCCUCAUCCCCGCUGAUGUACCCCAGCCCCUCCAGCACCAUGUCUCCGUCCCUCAGCGCCCGCUGCUCCGUGGAGCUGCCCCGGCUGACCGACCUGACCGGCACCAUCAGCCUGAACGAGAGCCUGGGGGAGAGCAUGCUGGAGGACCUGCAGGACGGCUACAGCAUGAGCCCCUCCCAGCAGCUCCCCCCGGCCGCCCUGCGGCAGCGGAGCUCCAGCUUCACCUUCAACUCCAAGUGCUCCAGCAUGGGGGCCGCCUCCAACACCUACUGCGGGACCAUCUACAGCCAGCCGGCCAUGAGCCUCAUGCGCCGCCUGCCCAUGCAGACCAUCCAGGAGAACAAGCAGGCCACCUUCUCGCCCGCCAGCUCCUACAGGAACGCCUCGCUGCAGGACCUGCUCUCCUCCAUCUCCUACGCGCACAAGGAGAGCAUGGUCCCGGGGGAGCUGCCCCUGCCGCAGGCCAGCCCCAUGGUGCCGGCCCGUGGCCACAGACACAACCCGCUGCUGUGCGGGGGCGGGGAGCAGGGCUUGUCCUCCUACCCGCCCCACCCGGGCUCUCUCGUGAAGAGCAACGCGUUGUACCACCCGUCACCAGCCGGUCACCACCCUGCGGUCAACACCAGUGCCUUAGCCAAUCCUGUCAGCCUUAUGAGCCUGCCCAGUGACUCGUGCAGCAUGACGGCCGUGCCGCACCACGGGCACCUGCAUUCCUACGCUAAUAACCAAGGGGCACACAUGAGCUUGCUGGAUUCGCUGCAGGGCCCCUACCCGGGGGCCGUCCACCCCCCCGUGUUGGGCCAAGACAGGUUCCCAGCAGACCUGGACCUGGACAUGUUCAACGGGAGCCUGGAGUGCGACGUGGAGUCCAUCAUCCUGAAUGACUUUAUGGACAGCGAUGAGAUGGACUUCAACUUCGACUCGGCCCUCCCGCCGCAGAACGGGCUCAACGUGCCCGCGCUGCCCGGGGGGCCGCAGCCCACGAACCAGAGCUGGGUGCCCGGGUGACGCCUGCCCCGGCACGGGCUCACCACCGGGAAGCCACGAGGGGAACAUUGAGACUAACUUUUUUUUUUCCUUUCUCUUCUGCCUUUGUUUGUUAAGAUGGGCGAGAGCCGUCGGUCUGAGCUUGAGGUCGAACACGAAACACAAACCGGAGGGUCAAAUAUUGAGACGGGGGAGGACCCCCCCAGCCCCACGUGUGCCCGGUCUGCAGGUCCUGCCAGCAUCCUCUGGAGGACACAGGGCAGGUGGGUGGGAGAGGCAGCCGGAGCCAGGCAGAUCCGGGGGGUAGCAGGCAGGGAAAGCCUUUCCAGACGGUCCCAGUGCCCCGUGGCAGUGGUGCCAGUUUGAUUCGCCCUUGGGCUGGGUGACAGAGUGGUGACGGCUGGUGGCGUGGGACCCUCCCCGUGUGGGCAUCCCCCUGGGAGGGGACUCUCCUCUGAGCCACCUUGGGAUUGAGUCCUCUGGGUAGAAGUGUCAGGAGCGGGGACCCUGCCCCAAGGCAAGGGGGGGCUCGUGACCCCUCAGUCCUGGUGGAGAUGGGAGCUCUGCCAAGCCCACACCCCCAGGCCACCUCCACUGCAGGUGUCCUCGUGUGGCUCCAGGCAGGUUUUCUUACUCAGCAGCGAGAAGGGGGUGGUGAUGGUGAGCAGCCAGCAGCCCUGGGAGCAGCAUCUUGGCAGCCCCCGGGGCCUGAGGGUGCCAGGGAAGGCUGCAGCCCCUGCCUGGAGCAGGCUGGGCGUGCUCCAGGGGGGUCCUGAUGGGAGUGAGGGUCCCCUGAGCUGGAGGCUCAGGGGCAGCUCGCAGGGGCGGGGAGGGGGGCGUAUUUAUUUGAUUUCAUGCACUCUUUUGCCAUUGAGUUUUUGCGUUGGAAGGAAGAAAGGGGUGAGCUUAGGGAGAGGAGAGAGAGAGGCCACGGGCAGUGCUGGUGGCUGUGUCCCAUCACGUGGCUCUUCUUGGAUGGUGGGGUGAAAGCUGGGGGGCUGUGAUGUGGGUCAUCCUCGAGGAGGGGCUGUGUGUGUGUGGGGAGGGGGGGAUGUGGGGGCCAGGCCUCUGGAUGCAGCGUGGGGUCCAUCCUGCUCCAAGCUUGGGUGACCCACAUUGCUCAGGGAGGUGCCACAGGGCCCCCAGCCAGGGCUGUGGGGCUCCUGUGGGGUCAGUGCCACCAUGCCUGUCCCAGUGUCUCACUGCCCACCCCAGGGGUGCCAGGAGAGCCGAUCCAGGAGCUGUCAGCAAGAGGGGUGCACCCAACUGCCAGGGGCUGGGGCUCCAUGAGGAUGGGGACCAUGAUUCACACGUGGUCCUGCUGUGUGUCAGGACUCCAGACUGACCCCACUGCCCCACGGGGCAGGAACGGGCCAGGAACGUCCAUCCCAUACAGCUGCCAGGAGCAGCAGGGUUUUGGGGAGGUUCAGGCUGGUGACCAGCAGGAGCAACUGGUCUGGAGAUGAUGGAGGGGCUGGCAGGAGGUGGUGGGAGCUGCUGCUGUGUCCUGUGGGGUCUCUGCUGAGCUGUCCUUCCUCCUGGGCAGCUCUCUGUGACCCCCAGGCCCUGGCUUGCAGCAGGCUCAGUGCACUGAACCAGCACAUUUCCCCAGCCCAGCUCUUCCCUCCUUGCCCCAGCACCAGCUCCUCUGCCACGGAGCAGCUGCUGGGUCCCAGCCAGCCCCAGGGACAGGGGCACCCACGGGUGGCACCUCCUGCUCCUCUCCUGCCCCACACGGCUGUGGCAGAGCGUGACAGAGGAGCCCCAUGUGCCACCUUCACCCGGGGCACACGGCAGGCACGGUCUCUAAAGACAUUCUUACGAGUUAAUUAAUUAUGUUUACAUUAUUUGAUCAUGUACAGAAUUUAAUAUAUUCUAUUAUAUAUAAUCUUUCUUGAAUGCUUUUUUAAAAAGGAUUAUUCUUUGGUCAGGAUCAUUACCGCAUUCCUUUUAUACAUCACCUCUCGUUUCAGGCAUCUUUCAAAUCCUUGGAAACCGAUUGCAAAUGGCAAUUUUAUCCCUGACCCCCCAGUUCAGCACGUGGGUGUGAGGGACCCAGAGGCAGGAGGGCAGCUCUGGCUGCCCUGGAGGAGACAGGGGGCUCUGCCCCCCAGGAGUGGGAGAAAGGGAAGGGGUCCUGGCUUUUCCAGGCACAGAUCCAGCAGCACACCAAUGCUGGGCAGGCGUUUGGAGAUGGGAUUCUCCCACGCAGGGAGCUCCCCGAGCCCCCUUCGGUGUCACGGCCACGGGCCGGCCAUCACCGUGGCGGGAGGAAAACGUCCCCUCGUCCCGCGGCCGCCCCCGCGCCCCUGCCCCUGUGUGGGCACGGCCCCUCGCCAAGCUGUCGUGUGGUUCGUGACCGUGGGGUUGUCGUGUGUGCGGUGCAGUCGUGUCGGUAACGUCGUGUGUUCAGUGGUCGUGCGGGGCGAGGGGCGGCGGGGGCAGGCACGGGCACCCCCGAGCGCUGGCACCCCGGGGGCUGCGGGGACAGGUGAUCAAAGGACCUGGGCACGUGGGGACAGGUGACCAAAGGACCCAGGGCCAUGGGGACAAGGUGACCGAAGGACCCAGGGCCAUGGGGACAAGGUGACCAAAGGACCCAGGCACGUGGUGUUGUAGGGACAGGUGACCAAAGGGCCCAGGGCCAUGGGGACAAGGUGACCGAAGGACCCAGGGCCAUGGGGACAGGUGACCGAAGGACCCGGGCACGUGGGGCUGCGGUGGCCAGGUGCUGACGGACUGGGGGUGUGGGGCAGGCAGGUCCUGGGGCUGUGCCCCCCCGCCACUGUGGCUGUGGGGGACACCAGGGCUUUGUGUCACCGGCUGAGGCUCCAGGUUCCCUCUCUGGAAUCAGCGAGGCCACCUCAUGUCCCACCACACUCAGCUUCAUCCUCCCUUCUCCAUCACCCCCUUCCCUCUGGGACCAGGAGCUGCCUCUGCUCCCUCCCUGCCCUGGUGUGGGGGACACCCGAGGGCCCCCCCGGGCUGCUUCCCCCGGCGGUUUUGGGUCCUUUCCCUCGUAUUUAUAGCUGUACAGACUGGGGGGGAGGGUCGGAGGCGUCAUCUCUCACACGCAUCUAUCGUAGGCAAUGGUAACUUUCUUGGUUGUGCUAUUAGAGUUUGUGUAUGUGGCAAUGUAAAGAACUGUGUAUAGUGCAUUGUACAGCAUAUUUUCAUGAAUAAAAUUGUUUUAA